rnacentral:rRNA from 1 species
GAUGAACGCUAGCGGCAGGCCUAACACAUGCAAGUCGAGGGAGAAGCCCUUCGGGGCAGAAACCGGCGCACGGGUGCGUAACGCGUAUGCAACCUACCUUUCACAGGGGGAUAGCCCGGAGAAAUUUGGAUUAAUAUCCCAUAAUAUUGUUGGAUGGCAUCAUUUGGCAAUUAAAGUUACGAUGGUGGAAGAUGGGCAUGCGUCCUAUUAGCUAGUUGGCGAGGUAACGGCUCGCCAAGGCGACGAUAGGUAGGGGUCCUGAGAGGGAGAUCCCCCGCACUGGUACUGAGACAGGGACCAGACUCCUACGGGAGGCAGCAGUGAGGAAUAUUGGUCAAUGGUCGGAAGACUGAACCAGCCAUGCCGCGUGCAGGAAGGCGGCCUUAUGGGUUGUAAACUGCUUUUAUAUGGGAAGAAUAAGGGGUACGUGUACUUUGAAGACGGUGCCAUAUGAAUAAGC